rnacentral:rRNA from 1 species
AGAGUUUGAUCCUGGCUCAGGAUGAACGCUGGCGGCGUGCCUAACACAUGCAAGUCGAACGUGAUCUUUAUUUCGGUAAAGUGAAAGUGGCGAACGGGUGAGUAACACGUUGGUGACCUGCCCCGAAGCGGGGGAUAACUCUGGGAAACCAGAGCUAAAACCCCAGAUGUUUAAGGGUUUAGACGCCUUAAACUAAAACUCCGGUGCUUCGGGAGGGGCCUGCGGGCUAUCAGCUAGUUGGUGGGGUAAAGGCCUACCAAGGCGAAGACGGCUAGGGGGCGUGAGAGCGUGACCCCCCACAAUGGAACUGAGAAACGGUCCAUACUCCUACGGGAGGCAGCAGUGAGGAAUAUUGAGCAAUGGGCGCAAGCCUGACUCAGCAACGCCGCGUGGAUGAUGACGGCCUUCGGGUUGUAAAAUCCUUUUCUGAGGGAAGAUAAUGACGGUACCUCAGGAAUAAGUUCCGGCUAACUACGUGCCAGCAGCCGCGGUAAAACGUA